AGAGUUUGAUCCGGGCUCAGAUUGAACGCUGGCGGCAGGCUUAACACAUGCAAGUCGAGCGGCAGCGGAAAGAAGCUUGCUUCUUUGCCGGCGAGCGGCGGACGGGUGAGUAAUGUCUGGGGAUCUGCCCGAUGGAGGGGGAUAACUACUGGAAACGGUAGCUAAUACCGCAUAAUGUCGCAAGACCAAAGUGGGGGACCUUCGGGCCUCACACCAUCGGAUGAACCCAGAUGGGAUUAGCUAGUAGGUGGGGUAAUGGCUCACCUAGGCGACGAUCCCUAGCUGGUCUGAGAGGAUGACCAGCCACACUGGAACUGAGACACGGUCCAGACUCCUACGGGAGGCAGCAGUGGGGAAUAUUGCACAAUAGGGGAAACCCUGAUGCAGCCAUGCCGCGUGUGUGAAGAAGGCCUUCGGGUUGUAAAGCACUUUCAGCGGGGAGGAAGGCAAUGGCGUUAAUAGUGUCAUUGAUUGACGUUACCCGCAGAAGAAGCACCGGCUAACUCCGUGCCAGCAGCCGCGGUAAUACGGAGGGUGCGAGCGUUAAUCGGAAUUACUGGGCGUAAAGCGUACGCAGGCGGUCUGUUAAGUCAGAUGUGAAAUCCCCGGGCUUAACCUGGGAACUGCAUUUGAAACUGGCAGGCUAGAGUCUCGUAGAGGGGGGUAGAAUUCCAGGUGUAGCGGUGAAAUGCGUAGAGAUCUGGAGGAAUACCGGUGGCGAAGGCGGCCCCCUGGACGAAGACUGACGCUCAGGUACGAAAGCGUGGGGAGCAAACAGGAUUAGAUACCCUGGUAGUCCACGCUGUAAACGAUGUCGAUUUGAAAGGUUGUGGUCUUGAGCCGUGGCUUUCGGAGCUAACGCGUUAAAUCGACCGCCUGGGGAGUACGGCCGCAAGGUUAAAACUCAAAUGAAUUGACAGGGGCCCGCACAAGCGGUGGAGCAUGUGGUUUA
rnacentral:rRNA from 1 species